rnacentral:rRNA from 1 species
GAUGAACGCUGGCGGCGUGCCUAAUACAUGCAAGUCGAGCGAACAGACGAGGAGCUUGCUCCUCUGACGUUAGCGGCGGACGGGUGAGUAACACGUGGAUAACCUACCUAUAAGACUGGGAUAACUUCGGGAAACCGGAGCUAAGACCGGAUAAUAUAUUGAACCGCAUGGUUCAAUAGUGAAAGACGGGUUUGCUGUCACUUAUAGAUGGAUCCGCGCCGCAUUAGCUAGUUGGUAAGGUAACGGCUUACCAAGGCAACGAUGCGUAGCCGACCUGAGAGGGUGAUCGGCCCCACUGGAACUGAGACACGGUCCAGACUCCUACGGGAGGCAGCAGUAGGGAAUCUUCCGCAAUGGGCGAAAGCUUGACGGAGCAACGCCGCGUGAGUGAUGAAGGUCUUCGGAUCGUAAAACUCUGUUAUUAGGGAAGAACAAAUGUGUAAGUAACUAUGCACGUCUUGACGGUACCUAAUCAGAAAGCCCCGGCUAACUACGUG